CUGGCUGUAGAUUCUGGGAUUCAAUGGCUGCAUCCCUAGGCCUUAUCCCUUGUGUAAUCUGGCCCUCCUCACCAGGACACAUUCUCAAAGUGCAUCAUUCAUAAAGACAAAGCCAAAACAAUAAACCUCAAAUCGAUUUUGAGGCAAUUCUAGUGUCCAGAGACCAAAGAAUACUCACAAACCAUGCUGUCCUCAUGCAACGAUCCAACAGUGGUGUGGAUGUAUGAGCUGAGACCGUAAGCAACAACACAGAUGAACCCUGGAGACAUUCUGUUCCGCGAGAAAGAAAUGAAGGUAUUUGGAUGGCUUGGGACUCACUAUAAAGACCAGACCAGUAUCAAGCUUGGGAUUCUCUGGAAAGCCGGGAUUACAAGUCUGGACCACCAUACCCAGGCUGAAAAGUGUUCAAUGCAUGGUAUGAAUGAUGUUCCCAUGGGAGAAGCUCCUGAUGCUGAGUUUUUGCUAAACUAGAACAGAAUGGAUGACCUAGAGCAACAGGACUCUACUCUCUCACAGUUCUGCAGAUGAUAGCUCCGCAGUCCAGCAGUCCAAGGUCAAGACGUUGUCUUGAAGGGAUGAGUAAUGUUCCUGAAGAUGACCUGAGCAGCGCCCUACCUUUCCUCUUCCUGGCUGUUAUGGUUACCAAACAAUGUGUGCUGCUCCUGGGUUUGUUGAUAUAACUUGUAUCUCUGUGUCAUGUGCUUCAUCCUUCAUGUGUCUUUGGUCAUAGUUUCCUCUUUUUAUGAGAGCAUAAGUCAUUGGAUUUAGCAUUCAACCUAAUCUAGUAUAAUUUCAUCUCAACCUGACAGAUCUGGAAAGAUUCUCUUUCCAGAUAAGGUCAUAUAUUGGCACUUGGGAUUAGGACUGAAGCAUAUCUCUUGGGAGAACACAAUUCACAUUUUGUCCUGCCUUCUGAAAGUCUAUACUUAUUCUAAGAUAUUUCUUAAGAGCCUAACUAGAAAGUCAUAUUGAAAUUGUUAAUAAUGGUUACUUCUUGGAAGGAUUUUCCAUUUUAUGUACUUUACCAGUAUAUCUUGACUUUUGUUGAAAUUUUGGCGUAUGAUAUUUACAGUUAAUUUUAAAACUAAAAGCUUGGCACAAAAAUGUGGCCCUAACAUCACAGAGACCGGUGCUUAGUCUUUCAGAAAGAGCUUCAGUAACAACAUGAAGCAGCAAGGAGAUGGUAAAGGGAGGCUUUUAGACCUGAAGCAGAGAGGCGAGAUAAGAAAUGUGUCUAUCCAUUACGAUGAGCAGGAUUGCUCUGCCUGGUGGUGCAGGCUGGUAGUUACUUCUGGUUACUUGGAAGGCUGAGACAGAAGGAUGGGAAUUGUAAUGCUUGCUUGGGCUACACAGCUGACAAGAAGGGGUGAAUUUGAGAAAAGUCAGAGAGCAGCAUGUGCCAGCGAGCAGCGCGUGCAAGCUGGGGAUUUACCAGAUUCUGGGGUCUUGGCUAGGGAAACUGGGUCUUAGUGUUGCCGUUUAUUGAGGUGAUAGAGAGUGGUCAUUCUCCACUUUCCCUUGCCCCAAACCCUUCUCCAUUCCUGACUUCCCUGCUUUCUGCCCCAAGAAGCUGACUAGGAAGGAACUAAACACUUGACUUCUGACUGCAGAUAGAAUUUAAGUCAAUCAGUAACAUCAUCAUGAUACAAUAGAGAAAGGCCACAGGUUAGUCAUCAUUAUGGUUACAGCUUCUGUCACAUGUAUAUCAUAAGUUCAUUGCCUCAAUAACUUUUAGAUUUUCCCUGUGGCCAGUUCUGUGUCGCUAGAGAAGUUUAGCAGAUUUUGUGAAUGGUUAUGUCACUAAACUCUUAUCAGUGACUUCCUCAGUAUGCCUUGUGGUAGUGUAGGCAUGUGCUCCUGUACUCAGGAAGUAAGACAGAGAUCACAGAUUCAAGAAGAGCCUGGUCACCACUCCUGGGAAUAUACCCAAGAGAUGCUCUAUCAUACUACAAGAGCAUUUCUUCAACUAUGUUCAUAGCAGCAUUAUUUGUAA